UGGGGCUGUCUGGCUAGGGCCCUUGGGGUUUGCAUCCCCCAGGCUGGAUUAAGGGAGCAUUGCUCUUGGCUUUUGUUGGGAAUUUUAAUCCAAGGGAGCCCCGGGGCCUCCUCACAAACCCUGUCUGUAUAAUGUGUCAUGAGAAAAAGAGAUUCAACCACAAGGUGUAAAAUCAUUCUGUGUCAGUCCACUCCAGUAUCUUACCUCUUGCAGCAGCUGCUAGUUGUCACUUUGAACUGUCUUCAGCACAUAGUGAGAUCUAUGUGCAGGUGACAGACCUUCACCUGUCAGAGAAUAGCAACAGAGCUACCGGAGGCCUGCUGUCUUGGGCCCUUGUGGAGGCCACAUACCAGCGCAAAGCCGAGCAGCUCAUGUCAGACGAGAACUGUUUCAAGGUAAGAACCAUAUCUGCCUGCACUGACGCUUGAAGGAGGACUCCUGGAGGAGCUUGUUGAGAGAGGAGGGGAAGUACGAAGGCUCGUUGAGAAAGGAGAAUGGGCUCAGCUUUUCAUUUUACGUGACUAUCCAAAUAUGCCAAGGACCUCUGGACACCUGUGUGCUCCCCAGCUGUCCUAGAGCUUGACAGGGCGACCUGAUUGUCCAUUCUAGCCUGGAGGAGCUGCCAAGUACCUGCUCUGUGACUGUUGGUCUGAAUAUAGCCCUUGGCGGGGCUGGCAUAAAUCCAGACAGGAACUGUAGAACGAACAGAAAAAACAGAUAAAUAUUUCUAGAAAGAGCUCCUCGGAAAUGGGACAUUUGCAAGGAAGAUGGAAAAAUUCAUAUCCUGAAAUAAAGCUGGGAUUUCUCCCUGUGUUUCUCAGUGUCCCAAAGCCAGAGUAAUACUGUAUUGCUUGAUUGCCGUCACUGGGCUUUUAAUCUCUCUCUCUCCUCCUCCAUGCCCCGGGGUGGGUCACUGAAGCUUUCCACCUUUUUCUCCAUCUCAUCCAUUGUAGACUGUAACAGUCUCUUACUAAUAUUUGUCACCUCUACAUUAAAUAAACCAGACUCACAGUUCAAAUCAAAUUCAUACUUUCCGUCACUGUAAAAUCAGAAGUGGCCGGUCCCAUCUUUUUAACUAGUGGAAUUCAUUGAUAAUGGCUUUGACAUUUAUAGGGUGUCUCUGUGUUCCCACUGAGAGUCUCAAAAUAAGCAGGGAAGCAAAGAAUUGAAACUGCACAAAUUGAUCAGAAAACAGCAUGCUGCUAAAAGGGGUCCAGCUCCUUGCUUUGCCUUUAUAAACAUCCCAAUUUUGGGCAAACUUAGUGGGUAACAGAGAGAUUUUGUCCGAUCGUUAAUAAAAGACUAACUGUUCACUGCAGCAGUUCAUGCUUUUUUCUUCCAACUCUCUUUAAGCAUGUCAUGGUUCUCUAUCCAGGAAUUCUCUUCUGCCCAUAUAAGUAGAAUAAUUUCUUCAUCCUUUUACCCUCUGUUAGAUUAGCUCCUUAGUGAUCUAGAACUUUCCACUCAUUGUCAAAACUCCUUCUGUGUUCAGAUUGUGUAACUGGGGCUAGAAACCACCCCAUUGCUCCCAGCAAAGUGGAAGGCACAGGAUUAUGCUGGAUAGUUGCAUGAAGUUCAUUGGAUUCUCCUCUUUAACCUGGUGGAAAGGGAUUUAUUUUUCUGAAUCAUUUGUUACUAAGUCCCCUUCCGCAUUCUGCUUUGUAGCUGAUGUUCAUUCAGAGCAGGGGCCAGGACCAAUUAACCAUCGAGUUGCUAGACACCGAAGGGGAGAAUUCAGAUGACCCUGUAGAGGCAGAGGCCCUUCGCCUGGACCACCUGGCCAGUGGUUCGCCGCGUUGCAUUCCACCGUGCCUUGGGAAGACUUACCUUCAUCGCACUGUCCAUCGUUGCGCUGUGGGACACUUACCUUGAAGAAUCCUGACAUUUCCAGUGCCAUGCCUGUCCUGGGAGCGUGAGUAUGCAAGUGUGAAUGGGACCUUACUCCUCCCCUCUCCCCUUCUUUUGAGCUUAGCUAUCAGUAUAAUAAAAGUGCUGCUUUCUGCCAAACUCUGGUGGGUCAU